GGUUCAUGUGCUUGGUCGAGAGACCAGUGGUGCGAAGCUACCAUCCGUGGGAUUACGACUGAACGCCUCUAAGUCAGAAUCCCGUCUAAGCAGUGCAAUGAUAUCGUGCGCACUUGCAGCGUUUACAGGUGACGUUAGAGUUUCUCGGGUCGAUCGCGGCGGGCCGCCGCGAUUCCCGGCUCGACGACGCCACGUGGACGUGGGGGCAUUAGUCGUUCGCCGAGGUAACGGUGCGAGCGACGCUCCCAUGCACUCGUUUUUGGUGUGAACCGCUGCGGUGUCAAAUCGUCUGUAGGCGACUUAGGUACCUGUCGUGGUGUCGUAAUUAGUAGAGCAGCCACCACACUGCGAUCUAUUGAGGCUUAGCCAUUGACCGGGAGGUUUGU
rnacentral:ncRNA from 1 species